GUUGUAUGGUUAAGUGACUAAGCGUACACGGUGGAUGCCUUGGCAGUCAGAGGCGAUGAAAGACGUAGUAACUUGCGAUAAGCCCAGAUUAGGUAGUAACAACCAUUUGAGUCUGGGAUUUCUGAAUGGGGAAACCCACGUGCAUAAGCACGUAUCCUUACCUGAAUACAUAGGGUAAGGAGGCGAACCGGGGGAACUGAAACAUCUAAGUACCCCGAGGAAAAGAAAUCAACCGAGAUUCCGAAAGUAGCGGCGAGCGAAAUUGGACUAGCCCUUAAGCUUUACACGCGUUAGACGAACGGUCUGGAAAGUCCGACGAUACAGGGUGAUAGUCCCGUAGUUGACGACGUGUGUUCAGUGAAAUCGAGUAGGGCGGGACACGUGAUAUCCUGUCUGAAUAUGGGGGGACCAUCCUCCAAGGCUAAAUACUACUGACUGACCGAUAGUGAACCAGUACCGUGAGGGAAAGGCGAAAAGAACCCCUGUGAGGGGAGUGAAAUAGAACCUGAAACCGUGUACGUACAAGCAGUAGGAGCAGGCUUUGUCCUGUGACUGCGUACCUUUUGUAUAAUGGGUCAGCGACUUAUAUUCAGUGGCAAGGUUAACCAUCUAGGGGAGCCGUAGGGAAACCGAGUCUUAACUGGGCGUUCAGUCUCUGGAUAUAGACCCGAAACCAGGUGAUCUAGCCAUGGGCAGGUUGAAGGUUGAGUAACAUCAACUGGAGGACCGAACCGACUAAUGUUGAAAAAUUAGCGGAUGACUUGUGGCUAGGGGUGAAAGGCCAAUCAAACCUGGAGAUAGCUGGUUCUCCCCGAAAGCUAUUUAGGUAGCGCCUCGGACGAAUACUACUGGGGGUAGAGCACUGUUAAG
rnacentral:rRNA from 1 species